UUGGCAAAUUGGCAGCAUAUACACUAAAACUGGAACAACUCAGAGAAGAUCAGCAUGGCCUCUUGAGCAAGGAUGAAAAGCAAAUUCAUGAAGCAUUCCAGAUUUUU